rnacentral:rRNA from 1 species
AUUGAACGCUGGCGGCAGGCCUAACACAUGCAAGUCGAACGAGUGGCGGACGGGUGAGUAAUGUCUGGGAAACUGCCUGAUGGAGGGGGAUAACUACUGGAAACGGUAGCUAAUACCGCAUACCAUCAGAUGUGCCCAGAUGGGAUUAGCUUGUUGGUGGGGUAACGGCUCACCAAGGCGACGAUCCCUAGCUGGUCUGAGAGGAUGACCCGCCACACUGGAACUGAGACACGGUCCAGACUCCUACGGGAGGCAGCAGUGGGGAAUAUUGGGCAAGGGGCGCAAGCCUGAGGCAGCCAUGCCGCGUGUAUGAAGAAGGCCUGCGGGUUGUAAAGUUCUGGCGGGGGGGAGGCGUUACCCAAAGAGGAAGCACCGGCUAACUCCGUGCCAGCAGCCGCGGUAAUUC